rnacentral:rRNA from 1 species
UACGAAGGGGGCUAGCGUUGUUCGGAAUUACUGGGCGUAAAGCGCGGGUAGGCGGACAUUUAAGUCAGGGGUGAAAUCCCAGGGCUCAACCCUGGAACUGCCUUUGAUACUGGAUGUCUGGAGUUCGGGAGAGGUGAGUGGAAUUCCGAGUGUAGAGGUGAAAUUCGUAGAUAUUCGGAGGAACACCAGAAGCGAAGGCGGCUCACUGGUCCAUUACUGACGCUGAGGUGCGAAAGCGUGGGGAGCAAACAGG